UUGAGUAAGUCUCAGAGCUGAAAUGGCGUAGCUCGGUUCUGUGAGCGACGAACCGCGGGCCCGGAGAACCCCGCGGGCAGAAACCGCGCAGGAAUGGAGUUUAUUCCGUGUCCUUUAUCAUCACUCUGAAAAACUAUCCAAGCAGAGUCGCGAAGUCGUCCUGGCGCCUGUGACGACAAGGAAUUCAACAUGCACGAGGAUAAGACUCCAGCGUUAACAGAUGAGAAGUGGGUGAGCAGCAGGGUGAUGAAGCGUCCUGUCCUGUGCUCAUGUGCUUCAGAUCUGCUCCACGUGGCGCCUGGGUAGCAUUUCACACACCAUCCAUUCAUCCAGAAGGAUGACGCCGUCGGUGGAGUCCAGACCACUUUUAUUUCCUCUUACUUCACCCACUCAAGUCUUAAUCUAGUUUUUUUUUUUUCUUCUUCCCCUUUUUCAUCCCAGGAGAAUGAUGAAUGGUUUACUUCCCUCCUUUUUGCUCGAACAGUAGCCUGUAUGUCGUUACAAAGCGGUUUUACCUUGAUAAUCAUUCACACUGCUCCAUACAAAGUUGAAGAAAAUAAGAUUUGGACAUUUUCCUAAAAAAUUAUUGAUUUUUUGGAGUGGGAGUUUGUUCUGGAAAAUGUAGUAAUCGCAGAAGGUUUUGGAUUACAUUGAAGGAACGUUAACGUUGAAUAUUUUCCGCAGUGAUGGAGUCCCGUUGUUGGCUGCAUUUACGUGGAGAGAUUUAUUUUCGCCAAUCCGAACAAAUCCAUUCGGAUUAUCCCGUCGAUGAUCCGUAACAAAGUGGAGCGUGCGAGUUCGGUCAGGGUGCAGCGUGAACGAGUUUUCAAUGAUUUCCGUCUCAUCAGAGCAUCAUCCGUGUGAUUUAUUAAAUAGACAGCGAGAAUAGGUCAUUAUUCAAGUUUUACCCUUAAUAUGGGUAGAAAUGUGAUUCCGAUUGGCCCCAAUUGGGUUAUGAUCGGAACCGGGUUCUCGGACCGAUUCUUAUCAGAGUAUUCAGCUGCAUUUAAACAGAGUCAUUUAUAUCAUAUGAUGGAAAAGUUCAAUAACGCUUUUUUUUUUUCUUCUUUCAAGGAGGGUGGGUGUGGUCUUUCCCAUGUUUGACCUCGAGUGAUGAAAACCUCCAGUUAAAAUUUCCCGAAAUUAUUGGAACACAAUAAUUAAAUGGUAGAGCAAGCAUCACAUUUCUUUCUUUCUCUCUCUGAACAUGACAGUGCGUUUAGGAAACCGGAUCCAUGCGGUUUGAAGGUAAAUGGUGUCUCUGGACGCGGGAUAUGUGCAAAACGGUUUGUCCGUCUGUGUUUUUUUUUUUUUUCCUCUCUCCUCUCUGUGUUCUGUUUGGAGAUAAACGUGUAUAUUGUACAAACAAGUGACGAGUUGUUCGUGCGACAAACAACAACAAAAUCACCAAUGUCUUCCAUUAAAUGAUGUAUAGUUUCAUCCGCUUGUUCGGUAGCGGGAUCUGUCGUGCCAGUGUUCUACGUGGCCAUGCAUGAGCGGACUCGAUGCUUGCAGAGUAGUUGUAGUGAAAUCCAGUAUAUUAACUUUAACGCAUAUUAGCUACUAGUUGAGCAGGUGAUGGUUAGACUAAAUAGCACUGUGUAGCUUUGAGAGUAGUCAGCUUUCCAGAAAAUCCUUUUUCUUUUUUUUUUUUUGUGCGCGUUUGUCUUUUGAUCUUCAGAUAACUGAGUCUCAUCUUAUCAUUUUCCUCUUUCUUAAAAAAAAAAAAAUCGCGCCUUCAACCAUUUUUAUCAUAUAAACUUGUUCACUGUUAAUUCUCACAAGCUAGCAUCGAACAACCUGACUAGCGACUAGCUAAAUAGUUUGUCCUCAUGGAUGUAAAUACAGUAAUUUAAAAAAAAAAAGCUCUGGAGUGGUUCUGGCUGCAUCAGAGAGUUAGCUUUGCUAGCUUUAAUGUAGCGUAGAUUGUAGAUUUUCAUUAAUACUGUGUGUAGUUUUGUCAGCGAGCAUCUAUAGCAUUAAAAUAUGGUGAUGUGGCUAGUUAAAUACCUCAACGAAUGAUUGGAAUGCAAACUAUUUAUUUUUUAGACUUCAUUGACAAAUAUGCAAGCCAUACUGCACAUUUUGUUCGAUGUUUAACGUGAGGUUGGAUCCGUGCCAAAAGUAUGUCGACGUCGGUGCGUUUACUCAGUCGUGUGUCGUUCUUCGCUCUUGCUGUCAGACGUGACUCAGGAAGACAAAUGAACCCAGUCUCGAACGAUUCCUGAGACCAGUCCUGUGGUGGGCGUGUGAUUGGAAGUUUGUUCUCGUUUCAGUGCUCGCUAGUACACAAGCGACACGUAAUUCUGCAGCGAGCCACAACACGCAGCUGAACGUCUCGAGCUGAAAUUUUGGGCUUUCUGUCGAGGACACAAAGGCAGCGUGCGACACCGUCACACACUCGCUUAUUUUCCGUCACUAAUUCAUGAACUCGCUUGAUGCAUACGAGUCAAAAAGUUCUAAGACCGAUGUUAUCAUUUCAGAAGGAAUUCUCCGAUGGAAACAUUGCUUGCAGAAGUGUUUAGACUUAAAUAGAGGAUAUGUAGAGAAAUAGCUUUAUUUUUAUAAUUUUUUUUUCAUUUGUCUUAGAACUUUUUGACUUACCCUCGUACAGUAUACGUUAUUAGCGUCUGUUCCGUUCGCUACAACUUUUGCUCAAACAUGGCACUGGGCAGAACUCUGGAGCUUUUGCGUUUAAUCGUGAAUGAAUUUCUGAUUUGGAUCCUGUCAGUGAGCAUCGUGAACACGAUAAGGAUUCACUUGCUUUAGUAACCACUGCACUGAUUCAGAACAGUGAUUCUGACAGUCCCAGAAGACGGGGCGUGGCCUGGCCUGUGUUGCCAUAGUGCCGCUUAUUAUUGCUGAUGAGACUGACCCACAUCAUGCCAGAUUGCACGUUAGUCAUUGUGCCACGCCUUAUUUCAUGUGUCAAAAUUAACCGAUUACAAAAAGGAGUGAAAUCCAGUCCCACUUUAUCACCGAGUCCUCCGAAGCAGGAAGCAGCGAGGGGACAUAUAUUUUUGGCACAGAUUGACCCUCAUCAUUUAGAAGCAAUAAUCUUAUUAUGCAUGAACUCUAUAGUGCCAGAAUGGUGUUUUGUGGGACGACCUGUAGCAUAUUUCUAGCUGUGUGUGUGUGUGUGUUCAUUAUUCAUGUUUAUUAUUCACACGUACUGGACCCUCUGGUUUCCAGUCGGCCAAAACGAGCUCAUGUGUUCAUUAAAAACCAAAAAUGUCGUGAUGAGAGAGGGAGCGAGCUGAAAAGCUGAUUGGCUGAGGAAGUUCUUCUUUCUGCACGUUGCAUGACUUGUCACUACAUGAGCAGAAAACGCACACGUCUGGAUUCUGCAGUCGGGAAGCAAUAGGACGAUGCCCCGGUGACGCGGGCGCUUUGUUUCAGUCCACUCUUCACACACACUGAACAUCAUUUUGCCAGUGAGCCUGUGGGUGUUUGUAUGUGGGGGGGGAAUACAUUUAGAUACUGCAUGGUAGAAGUGGGUACCACAUGUGUUGUGCUGCAUGCAAUAAAUAAAUAAUUCAGCUUUGCUCUGAGAAAAUAUAAUGUAAUGCAAAAACGUGAAGGAUGUGAAGUCAAGCAAGUGACAAGAUUGAUGAGUUGAUUUGCUCUCAGUUUGGUUUAAAAAAAUUCUCUCUCUGUCUCUCUAGAUACAUAUCCAACCGUCUCACUUGCUUUAUUCGAACCCAUUCUGUAUGGAACUUUUUUCCCCCUUUUUAAAAACCAGUCAAGAGGGGAAAAUCGGCUCUCUGCAGCUCGAAGUCACGUGCUUGGAUAUCGCAACGCCACACUGGAGAGCACGCUUUCAGCUAAGGUCAGGAACAAAAGUUUCAGCACGUUAUAGCGCUUCGUAUCGUUCCUUUUCAAGAAGAAUUUAUCGUGAUAACACGUACUUAUUACAGCGCAUUGACCAUUUUAUGCGACAUGCCUUUGUUCAUUUUUAUUCACGGAGAAAAGCAACCUUUUUAGACAGAAAGAAUCACAUUGCGAUGACAACGGGAUCGUUUGCGAGUAUCCGCGUCAGUACUGCGUACGCGUUAUCUCGCCAAGUGAGAUUUAAACUUCAAUAAAAGUGAAGGAUUUUGAUUUGUGGAUUUUGUUGCCCAGUAAAAAUCACACAGUUGGAGAGAAUUUCUGAUUAGAUUUUUAGAAUUGGAAGGCUUUUUGUGUGUGUGUGUGUGUGUGUGUGUGUGUACACACACCAGGGCUUUGAACCAGAAUUUUUUUCUUAUUGGUUCGUUCCGAACAGAAACGGAAUUUUAACGUUUCCGGUUUUGGGUUCCACCAUUAAAUAGACGUUCCUGAACCGGUUAGAACAAAAAAAUUUCGUUCCCGGAACGGUUAAUUACGUUCCCUGUCAGCUGUUUAACAAAUGUCUAUAAAAUGAUGUCUCUGUCUCAUCCAGCUUAAGCCAAAUGUAGGCUAAUUCUAUUACAACCUUCAUUAAAUAAGACAAGAAAUAAUUCAAAACAAUUAUUAUUUCAAAUGUUGGCGAUUUGGAUUCUCAGUAUGUCUUCCCAUCUACACAAACAGAAAAAGUGCCAAAAAUGAAAGAUAAUUCGUUUAGUGUGUUACCAAAGGCUAGUCAGGCCCUAUGCAUUGAUAGGCUAACAGAGGUUAACGUCAUUUUAAUGUUCGCGAGCCUCUCAUUAACGUGGACAAAUAUAUUGAUAUCGUGUUUGAAAUUGACGUUUUCGAAUAACGAUAGACUGCAAUAUUUACCUCUUAUUUAAGAUGUGGCGACGUGAUAGUAGUCCACCCUCCCGCUCUCUCCAUUCAGUCAGCGAACGUCACACAGGAAGUGAACCCCAGCGGGUCAUAGAAACUUGCGCAGGAGAAGAAUGACUUUUUUAUUUGUAGGCUACGGAAACUUUGAGGAACGAAAUAAAAACCGGUAUUAACCGGUUACCAUUAUUUUUAAUAAGCGUUUCUGUUCCGGAACAUAAAAAAUAAUAAAGUUUCUGGUUUCGUUUCUGUUCCAUGUGAAAUAGAAAAAGUUCCCGGUUUUCGUUCCUUGAACCGGUUCAAAGCCCUGGUACGUACACACACACACACACACCUUGUGAAGUCGCCAUGUUUCGCCACGAAGAUCCAAAUGCUGUCCACGGAAAGUCCAAUAUCUUUUGUGGUAAAAAUGAGCCACAGUGUAGUUUUCUAAGUUUACUUUAGAAAGGAAACUGAAGCUUUUCUGUUCCUGACCUUGAGGGUUCUGUUUCCCUGAUCGCUUGCUCUCCAGUAUGGCGUUAUGAUGUGGUACCAAGCAUGUGACCUCAAGCUGCAAAGCGAUGAAAGAUUUUCGAGUAGGUGGUGAUUUUUUUUUUUUUUUUUAAAUCAAAUUAAGCUUGUUGGAAUCUUCUGACCUGGACUGGGACCAGUAUGAGUUUUGUGUAUAAAAUCCACACGUCCAGAUUUUUCCAUGCACGCGGGCGAAGCUCAGUGCUGAUUGGUUGAUUCUUGAAGAGGACAUCAGUGCAUGAUUUGAAGCGUUUAAAUGAAUCUCAUGAUGAUGACUGCAACGAUAGCUGCAGGAUCUUGAACGGGGUUAAAACAUAAUUUCCAACUGAAAUCUAGUCUCCUAACUGCCAUGUCCUGAUUUUGAAAGGUUAUUGUUUUUGACUCCAGGAUGAUCUAACUUUUUUGUUUUUAUUUUUUUUAAUCAUGUCACAGGAUGGGACACUGUACAGUAUAUUUGGUUCAAUCUAUGCACUACAGAUGCGUGAAGCAUGCGAAGAUAAACCUCUUUUUUACAAUUAAUAAAAAAAAAAAUCUGUAUAAGGAAUUUAGCAAUAAAAACAGCAUGGUGCCCAUCUUACAGCA